GGGCCGGUGGCACAAUGAUAGCACAUCCUUCCAGUAUAGGAAAGAUUCUAGGUUCGACUCCUAGCCAGUCGA